UUAGCUCUCUUUGCCUUUUGGCUUAGAUCAAGUGUAGUAUCUGUUCUUUUCAGUUUAAUCUCUGAAAGAGUCCUACUGGACUCAAUCGUGAUUAUUCUAAUUUUUUCCCUUCGGAGGCGUACCCUCUGUGCUUGCGCAUGGUCGCCUCCACUGUGUCCCUGGUAUUACACUGCCUCCAGGCGACGCGAACACCC
rnacentral:snRNA from 1 species